ACUAAAGCUAGCCCAAACACCCAUCAGCCAAACUAUCAUGCGAUCAAUCAACCAAAACAUUUAAUUACAUUAAAAAGUAUAGGAGAUAGAAAUUUUACUUGGAGCUAUAGAGAAAGUACCGCAAGGGAAAGAUGAAAGAAAAAAUUAAAAGUAACAAACAGCAAAGAUUAACCCUUGUACCUUUUGCAUAAUGAAUUAGCUAGACAUAGUUUAGCAAAGAGAACUUAAGCUAAACACCCCGAAACCAGACGAGCUACCUACGAACAAUCCAUCCGGGAUGAACUCAUCUAUGUCGCAAAAUAGUGAGAAGAUUUGCAGGUAGAGGUGAAAAGCCUAACGAGCCUGGUGAUAGCUGGUUGCCCAGAACAGAAUUUCAGUUCAACUUUAAAUUUACCUAACAAUCUUGAAAUUCUAAUGUAAAUUUAAAUUUUACUCUAAUAAGGUACAGCUUAUUAGAUAAGGAUACAACCUUGCUUAGAGAGUAAAAACCUGCAUAACCAUAGUAGGCCUAAGAGCAGCCAUCAAUUAAGAAAGCGUUCAAGCUCAACAACAAGAUACCCUUAAUACCAAAAUUUUGUAAUCAACUCCUAACAUAUUACUGGGCUAAUCUAUCCAAAAUAGAAGCAAUAAUGCUAAUAUGAGUAACAAGAAACAUUUCUCCUUGCAUAAGCCUAUAACAGCAACGAAUGCAUCACUGAUAGUUAACAACAAGAUAAAAAUAACCUAACCAUGAAACGUUUAUCAAACUAACUGUUAGCCCAACACAGGAAUGCAACCAAGGAAAGGUUAAAAGAAGUAAAAGGAACUCGGCAAACACAAACCCCGCCUGUUUACCAAAAACAUCACCUCUAGCAUUAAUAGUAUUAGAGGCACUGCCUGCCCAGUGACACUAGUUAAACGGCCGCGGUAUCCUGACCGUGCAAAGGUAGCAUAAUCAUUUGUUCCCCAAAUAGGGACUUGUAUGAAUGGCCACACGAGGGUUUAACUGUCUCUUACUUCCAACCAGUAAAAUUGACCUUCCCGUGAAGAGGCGGGAAUAAAAAAAUAAGACGAGAAGACCCUAUGGAGCUUUAAUUAAUUAGUUCAACAUAAGACACACUACAUACCAAAAGGUAAUAACACAAACACACCGCAUGAACUAACAAUUUGGGUUGGGGUGACCUCGGAGAACAAAAAAACCUCCGAGUGAUACAAGCUCAGACUUACCAGUCGAAGUAUCACCAUCACUUAUUGAUCCAAAAUUUUUUGAUCAACGGAACAAGUUACCCUAGGGAUAACAGCGCAAUCCUAUUCGAGAGUCCAUAUCGACAAUAGGGUUUACGACCUCGAUGUUGGAUCAGGACAUCCAAAUGGUGCAGCAGCUAUUAAGGGUUCGUUUGUUCAACGAUUAAAGUCCUACGUGAUCUGAGUUCAGACCGGAGUAAUCCAGGUCGGUUUCUAUCUAUUAAAAAUUUCUCCCAGUACGAAAGGACAAGAGAAAUAAGGCCCACUCAACCAGAGCGCCUCAAGACUAACAGAUGAUACAAUCUUAAUCUGACCAGUCUACCCUCACUCCAGCAGCCCUAGAGACAGGGCUU
rnacentral:rRNA from 1 species